UUGAUGAAAGGGGUUUUUUAAAACCCUAGCAUUGAAGGAAGGGUGGAAGUCAUGAUUGGGAGCAGCCGUAGAAGAUGGUGGCUAGAGGUCUGGAUCUAGGGUUUGAACAAGCCACAUUAGAGGAUGACGGAUUUAAAAGAGGUUUUCGCCUUAGAUUUGGCUCGGAUUUGAGGGUUUUCAUUGUGAUUGCUGUUUGAGGGUGGAAUUUGAGGGUUUUCCCUUUAGAUUUGGCUUGGAUUUGGACGAAUUCGAUUCAAAAGAGCUGGUUUUUAGGGUUUUGGAUGUGACUUGGAGCGGAUCUAGUUGAAGUUGAAGCAUUCAGUGGAGGGUUUCAUGCGGAAAUUGCAUUUUGCGAGAAAUCCAUUUUUCAGCCUUUUUUUAGGCGCUUGAAGUUAGAUCUGAUUGGCAUUGAAGUGGUUUGCAGAAAAAUGGCAGUAGAUCUAUAGGAGAUUUGAGCAUUUUUAUCUGUCCCAUCUGCCAAUGGAGGCAGAACAAGAGACAGAGGUUCAUGUUAGUCUUCUCUUAUCUAAUUCACUUAAAUUUCUCUUCUUUUGCCUUAGCAUACACUCUUGGUUGCUGUAAUUGAUGAUUUUGAUGUGCAUUCCUUCAGUCUGUGAUUUUGGUUUCUUGGUUUUCUUUUCCUUCUUCAGCCGUACAUUUAACUUUUUCAGAUCGU